UACGUAGGGUGCAAGCGUUGUCCGGAAUUAUUGGGCGUAAAGAGCUCGUAGGCGGUCUGUCGCGUCGGCUGUGAAAUCCCGAGGCUCAACCUCGGGUCUGCAGUCGAUACGGGCAAACUGGAGUGUUGCAGGGGAGACUGGAAUUCCUGGUGUAGCGGUGAAAUGCGCAGAUAUCAGGAAGAACACCAAUGGCGAAAGCAGCUCUCUGGGACGGUACUGACGCUGAUGCGCGAAAGCGUGGGGAGCAAACAGG
rnacentral:rRNA from 1 species